rnacentral:tRNA from 1 species
AAAGGAUUAGUUUAAUAAAACAUUAGUUUGUCAAACUAAAGAUAUUUCCAUGAAUAUCCUUUG